rnacentral:rRNA from 1 species
GAUGAACGCUGGCGGCGUGCCUAAUACAUGCAAGUCGAGCGAACAGACGAGGAGCUUGCUCCUCUGACGUUAGCGGCGGACGGGUGAGUAACACGUGGAUAACCUACCUAUAAGACUGGGAUAACUUCGGGAAACCGGAGCUAAUACCGGAUAAUAUAUUGAACCGCAUGGUUCAAUAGUGAAAGACGGUUUUGCUGUCACUUAUAGAUGGAUCCGCGCCGCAUUAGCUAGUUGGUAAGGUAACGGCUUACCAAGGCAACGAUGCGUAGCCGACCUGAGAGGGUGAUCGGCCACACUAGAACUGAGACACGGUCCAGCCUCCUACGGGAGGCAGCAGUAGGGAAUCUUCCGCAAUGGGCGAAAGCUUGACGGAGCAACGCCGCGUGAGUGAUGAAGGUUUUCGGAUCUUAAAACUCUGUUAUUAGGGAAAAACAAAUGUGUAAGUAACUAUGCACGUCUUGACGGUACCUAAUCAGAAAGCCACGGCUAACUACGUG